rnacentral:lncRNA from 1 species
AAUGGGUGCUAUCGGCAGAAGAUACAUCUAGGCCAGUGAGCAUAACUACAUCGGGAAGUGUAGGGGAAGCAGGGCCAUGGCCGAAGACAAAAGCAUUGAGCGUGUCUGACCAGAAAUAUGAUGCAGCUAUCAGCAGUGAUUCAUUCCUAUGCAUAUCAGCAAUAGACAACCUAAUGCAUUGGUCUAGAUUUCUCUCACCCCACUAGACUUCAUUUGAGUUGCCGACCCUCAAAAACCAAUCCGUCCAUCCCACGGUAGGACUAGGCCUAGAACGGAAAGUAUCCUUCCACACAUCCAAAGAAAAGUUCUCGCCUCUAAAAGGGAUCCUGUUGGUUUCUGCAUUAAUGAAGUCGGUUGGAUCUGGAUCCCCUAACGGUCCAAGGCAUUGGAGGUGUGGUUGAUCGGUGGGGAUGACAAUUUUGUUGGACAAAUCCUAAUGGUUUCGAAGGUAAAAGAAAAACAAAGAAAGAAAAAGAAAAUGUUCAGUAAAAUGGGUUGCGGAUGAACAGGGGUGCGAGAAAAAGUACAAGAGAUGGAGUGAAGAACUAACCUCAGGAACGAUGAAGUUGACGGCCUUCUUGUCACGAGGAGGAUGAUCGAGGGCUUCAGAGUUGGUGAAGAAGGGACUUCG